GAAAGUAAGCAAGGGCAGACGGUGGAUGCCUUGGCUCUCGGAGGCGACGAAGGACGUGAUAAGCUGCGAAAAGCCCGGGGGAGGCGCAAAUAGCCCUUGAUCCCGGGAUAUCCGAAUGGGGCAACCCGGCAGGCUGAAGGCCUGUCAUCCCGAAAGGGAGGCGAACGUGGGGAACUGAAACAUCUAAGUACCCAUAGGAGGAGAAAAUAAACAAUGAUUCCGUAAGUAGUGGCGAGCGAACACGGAAGAGCCCAAACCCAUGUCGUCUAGGCGACACGGGGGUUGUAGGACCACGACGUGGCAAGAAGGAAGGGAAAUGGAACGACUUGGAAAAGUCGGCCAUAGACGGUGAAAGCCCGGUACAUGACUCCCUUACGAAGCCUAGUGGUAUCCUGAGUAGCGCGGGGCACGAGAAAUCUUGCGUGAAACAGCGGGGCCCAUCCCGUAAGGCUAAAUACUCCCGAGAGACCGAUAGCGAACCAGUACCGUGAGGGAAAGGUGAAAAGAACCCCGAGCAGGGGAGUGAAAUAGACCCUGAACCCGUCUGCCUACAAGCGGUCGGAGCGUCGUAAUGACGUGACGGCGUGCCUUUUGCAUAAUGAACCUACGAGUUACCUUCCCCGGCAAGGUUAAGUUCUUGAGGAACGGAGCCGAAGCGAAAGCGAGUCUGAACAGGGCGCCAAGUCGGGGGGGGUAGACGCGAAACCGAGUGAUCUACCCUUGGCCAGGUUGAAGGUUGGGUAACACCAACUGGAGGACCGGAUGGGUAAGCGUUGAAAAGCUUUCCAAUGAGCUGAGGGUAGGGGUGAAAGGCUAAUCAAACUCGGAGAUAGCUCGUACUCCCCGAAAUGCAUUUAGGUGCAGCCUCUUUAUAGUAUAUCGUGAGGUAGAGCGACUGAUUGGAUGCGAGGGCUUCACCGCCUAUCAAGUCCAGAUAAACUCCGAAUGCGCGAUAUAUAUUUACAGGGAGUGAGGGCGCGGGUGCUAAGGUCCGUGUCCGAGAGGAGAAGAAUCCAGACCACCGGCUAAGGCCCCCAAAUGAUCGUUAAGUUGAACUAACGAGGUCGGAUCGCAGAGACAGCUAGGAUGUUGGCUUGGAAGCAGCCAUUCAUUUAAAGAGUGCGUAACAGCUCACUAGUCGAGCGAUCUGGCGUGGAUAAUAAUCGGGCAUAAACGAUCUGCCGAAGCCGUGGAUGUCGCAAGACAUGGUAGGGGAGCAUUCCAUGCCGCGUCGAAGAUGAGGGAUGACCCUUGUUGGAGCGCAUGGAAAAGCAAAUGUAGGUAUGAGUAACGAUAAGGGGGGCGAGAAACCCCCCCGCCGAAAGACCAAGGUUUCCUGAUCAACGCUAAUCGGAUCAGGGUGAGUCGGGACCUAAGGCAAAGCCGAACGGCGCCGCCGAUGGAAGAAUGGGUUAAUAUUCCCAUACUGCCUCAUGGAGUGACGUGGAGACGGAGAAGUGACAGUCCUGCCGGCUGACGGAAUAGCCGGUUGAAGGGUGUAGAUAUUGAUUCCCGUAGGCAAAUCCGCGGGGAGAGUCGAACCUGAGAGUAUACGGAGCGCUUGCGCAACGUAAUAUGGACGUAACCAUGCUCCCGAGAAAAUCCGCUAAACUUAUCCAUGCGGCACCCGUACCGUAAACGGACACACGUGGUCGGGUUGAGAAUACUGAGGCGCUCGAGUGAUUCACGGUUAAGGAACUAGGCAAAUUGACCCUGUAACUUCGGGAUAAAGGGUCCUCGUCGUAAGGCGAGGCGCAGAGAAUAGGUCCAGGCAACUGUUUAACAAAAACACAUGGCUGUGCUAAAUGGAAACAUGAGGUAUACAGCCUGACACCUGCCCGGUGCCGGAAGGUUAAGAGGAGAUGUCAUCCGCGAGGAGAAGCGUUGAAUUGAAGCCCCGGUAAACGGCGGCCGUAACUAUAACGGUCCUAAGGUAGCGAAAUUCCUUGUCGGGU
rnacentral:rRNA from 1 species